rnacentral:lncRNA from 1 species
UAUAAUCGUGUUUAUUUCGCAAUGGUUGCACGGCGCUGAGAAUAGAACGCGUGGCAUACAAACGACGCUGAAACAUCGUUAAACAGACGUCGCACGUAUCCGCGUCGCGGUGCAAAGUCCGACCGUAAUUCGAAUUAAUAGAAACGGGGGGAGCCGCCUUAAAGUUAAAAGCCACCCCUCCCUCCUCCCUCGUAGCUGGAAAAACAUAGCGUGUUCCACGAAAACGGGCCGCGACGGUGUAGCUGUUACGAACGGCGUCACGAAAUUUUCCCCGUUCGAUUCGACGACAAGUAAAUUAACGAACACACAAAGUUAGGGAAAAAAGAAAACGAUAGAUUUUUCAUGGAUUCAUCCCUUCCGCAACGACAAUAUAAAUUUUAUCUCUUUUUGUUUUUCGAUAUUCGAAACUCGUCGACGAUAAUAAAAAUUGUUUCUCGCGAUCGUAAAACGUAAAGUUCUCGAGCGAAAAAAGCACGGUUAAUUAAACCAGAGGUUUCUGUCGUCGAAACUUUCUCCCCGCGGAUUUCUGCCUUAUCACGGCGGGCAGAAAGACGUUUAAAAAGAAAGAAAGAAAGAAAAAAAGAGGAUACGGAAUGCAAAGUAGGAGAAAAUGUUCCCGCAUCCGAUGUUGCCGCUGGUAUCUGGCAAACGAGGCGCAGAACCACUCUCCUCGUGGUGAUCGACGUUCCCACGAUGGUUCUCAAUAUAGUCGAGUUCACUCGAGCCUCCCUGUGAAAAGAUAGAGGGUGGCCUGAUAGUCGGAUCACGAAGUGGACUAGGAUUCGAAUAGAUGGUAGAGACGGUUGAGAAUCGGGGAUGGUGAUUUUUGGCGGAUAUCCAGCCAAGAUGGGACGCGUCUUGCCCUUGUUGCCUCGCCCGCAGCCCGACGACAAGGAGAAUCUUUCAUGAUUUGACAGCGCGACCGAAAGAAACGACUCGAAAGUGCUACGAGAUAGUAAUAGCGGUAGUAGUAAUAGUAGUAGUAGUGGUGGUGGUACUUAUAAAAGUUAUUCUCCUCCUUCGAUUUCUCGAGAAUAAAGUAUCUAUUCGGUCACGUUAACGUUCCUCGAAAUAAUUCGUCGCGUUACUCGAUCGUCGUUCGAUUGGAAGCACAGAUUAUUCGAGAAUAUCGAUUAUUAGAUUAUCAUUAUAUUCGAUCGAUGGUGUAAUAUAUUAUCAUUGAUUGGAAAUGAUCUAAGAUGACGAAUUAAAGUUAAUAAUUUUCGUUUAUAGAUAAACGAAGAAAGAUAAAAGAUAGAAAAAGAUGAAGAAUCGUUGAUUAAGAACGACUCUUGACGCUCGUUAACGCGUCAAAAAAGAUAUGGCCAGCAUCCAGCAAGAGCAAAGCUUGUAUCGAUAUUUCUGUGCCAAAAGACUUGUGGAUCCAUCGGUGGUAGGUGAGGGAGGAUGAGGUCUGCCCCGGGACGAGCGUCGUUACGUGUCGAUCAGAGGAACACGAAGCUGAUUUCACGCUCCGUAUCGUCCGGCAAGGGUGCAGGAAUCUGGAUUGUCUGGUUACGGUUACGAUCGGUUAGGCCUUCGACCACGUGUGACAGCUCGACACCUUGGCCUUUUGCCCUUCCAUCUCGUUACGUAGCCGUGACAGUGGCAGGAUCGCAAUCGAAUCGAAUUCCGCAACUCGGGGGAGGGGGAGAGGUGGUUUGUGGUUCGGCUCGAAAGAUGGAUCGAUCGAAGAUUAAAUUAACGCGAUUCGAUCGAAAAUUACGAUCCUUUUUCUUUCCUAACCCGCUUUUCCCCAAUCUUCCUUCAAUUUCGUCUUCGUGCGUUCAAUUUAAAAAACGAAGCCGGACAAUUUACAUAUCUCGGUAUUUUUACUUCUGAAACUUUCACCUGUCCGUCAGAUUUCUGGUAUAAUCUCGAUGUCCUUGAACUUUUCGCUCCAAUGCAUGAAUUAGUUCGUUCCUCUUAAUUUUAACACUGAAUUAAUCCCACCAAAUAUUAUAUUAUAGAGGAAACUGGGAGAAGAGUUCUUUUCUUCUUCUUCUUUUUCCUCCUCCUCCUCUGCGGUUAAAUUACACGUCAAUCGCGGCGAGAAGUUCCAUCCCCGUGAAAUAAGAAUCGAAAAUUGUUACGAAAUAUAGAUUUCCUUAACUUCGAAAUCGAAAGGUUGGAAACCGAGGCCACGCAAUUUUCUCAAACGACGAAACUUUUCAAUUUCGGUCCAUCUCUCCUCCCCUCCGAUAUUUCCAGAUUUCAUCCCGCGGAAUCGGCGAGAGGAAGAGGAGGGAUAGGAGCGGUGGUGGAGGGGAAAACUUGUUUCGCAAAAAUAAAAUUUUUCGUAUUAUACUCCCUUCCUCUUCCUCUCCCCAUCCCCUCGCGAUGGAAGCGAGUAAAAAUUACGAAAAAGUAGGUGACCCCCGAAGUGCAGGGGGAUACACACAAUCUUGGAAAAAUGUCCGGAAAUCGUAUUCAAAAGGUAUUCGUAUGUGGGCCAUGAACGAGCCCCAGGGAGUAUGUCAGAAUUCUCGUUUCGUAAGUGAAUGGCGUCCUUUCCAAUAAGAAAGUGGUCCCGAUACCAGAUUUUUCUUGCGGUAAUAAUAUCUCGAUUUUUGGAAACUGUUACAAACAGCGUUUUUAAUCGAUCGAACUUAUUUCCCUCCAUUCUUUCCUCUUUCAAGCAAAGUCGAAUUUAUAUUCUUACAUGCGUGAUAAAUCUGAUUGUAUAAUCUAUCUAUAAAACAUUAGAGGAAAUAGAAUUGGAAAUUUUUCUUUACGAUUUUGAGUAAGAGAUGAUUUAAAAUUUGUAAAAUUUCUUUUGCACGUGUAUUCGUGAAAGAAUGAAUGUUAAUGUUCCUGAAAGAAUGUUUAAAGUUUGCAUAUAAAUACCCGUAGUUUAUUAAAUGAAAUUUUACAAUACGUUUUUUUCUUUUAUAAGUGCGUUAAAUUUGCAGAUUCGUUUGUAGCGCUUUCCUUCUCGUUACAUAAAUCGCUAAUAUUUGCCUCUCCACUUAUCUCUUUUCAUUUGGAAAAGAAAUGUCGUAACAGAGAAGCGAUAAGCGAAGAGGAAUACUUGUUUAUCGCGUAACGGGUUGGGCGAAACUUGCAAGAUCUCGUUCGAAUUGAAACAAAACCGUGAGAAGAGGGAAAACGUGUUUGAUUUAGACAGAUGUAAACGCGAUACGUGUUUAAUUAUCGGAUUUGGAGAUUGAGAAAUUGUGAAAUAUUUCCAUCCGUAUAUUAUCAUAGAAUAGACAACAUAAUAAAUCUACUUCGUCGCUUAUAUUUUAUGAUU